AUACCAGUCCUUAGGUACAAGGAUUGGGACACUCCGUCGGUUACGACGACGUGGGUUCCAGAUGAUCCGAUCAACGGAACAACCUGCUCGUGAAAUUGAUGUGCCAGUAGCUGAGAACUCCACAGACAUGUAUACUCUUAACUUAGUUCUCGGGAAGAUUCAGCGUGACACAGUGUGUGAUGAGGCUGGCCCUUUGAAAUACAGGUUCAGCAGAAACAAGGAGAAAGAGUGAGAGAAAGUUGUUGUGAAAGAGUACAGCAGGGUUCGCCACCACCCCUUGUUAGAGCCUCGUAGAGCUUUAGGUGUUUUCACUCAAUAAACACUCACAACGUCCGGUCUGGGAAUCGAAACCGCGAUCCUACCACAGCGAGUCCGCUGUCCUAACCACUGGGCCAUUGCGCCUCCACCUGUACAAGGGUAAGCUGAAGGAACCAUUAAAAUCUCUACAUCUUAAUUUGACAUCUUGGGAAAGUCAUUGCUUCGAUCAGUCUGCAUGGCGUAAAAUGUGUCACGAUGCAUCCAAACAUUUUGAGUUGAAGAAAAAGAACAAUGGACGAAUUAUAUCCUGCAAUCAACACAUUUGCCCAGUCCCAGCCAAAAUCAAGAUCAUUAACGUCUCCAUUGCUACUUCAUAGCAAAAUACAUCCGUGGACUCAAAUUAUAUUCACGCAUCCAUCACAAAUAGAUGCAGCUUCUUAAUGCUUCUUUUUUUGCUGUUUUCUUUCUAACUUAAAGUCAUCUCUUUCAAACACUCAUACUUUGAAAUCGAUGGGAGCGACCAUCAUUAUUAUUAAGAUGGCAGGCUGUGAAUUGAGGAAAAUCUAACUGUUAUUUCUAGCAGUGUCAGUGAUGAAUUACUUAUUCACUAUAGACGAACCAAAAGGGAGCCUCCCUUACAUUAACUAAUAAUAUUUGGAAUGACCACAUAAAAGUGUCUGUUUUUAGUGCAUUUUAGCAAUUAUGUCGAACUGCCUUGCUUGGCUCAUAUAAACGAUUCUGUUGUGUUGCCUUUCUUGGCUCAGUUGAGUAACCACGUUGAGGUACGUUUCUUAGAUUAGUUAGAGUACCCUACUGUGACACACUUCUUGGUUCAGUUGAACGGCUUCAUUGAGUCACUUCCCUUGCAGCAUUUGAAUAACGCUGUUGAGUUACCUUUGAUGGAUCAAUUAGACGACCACAUUAAGACGUUUCUUGGAUCAGUUGAACUAUGUUGUUGUUGAGACAUUACUUUGUUCAGCUGAACGGCUUCAUUGUAUUACUUCUUUUGGAGCACUUUGAUAACGCUGUUGAAUUACUUUUGGUGGAUCAAUUCAACGACCACAUUAAGACGUGUUUCUUGGAUCAGUUGAACUAUGUUGUUGAGACACGCUUCUUUGUUUUGUUUCACGGUUUCAUUGAGUCGCUGUUUUUGGAACAUUUUGAUAACGCUGUUAAAUUUUGGUGGAUCAAUUCAACGACCGCAUUUAGACGUGUUUCUUGGAUCAGUUGAACUAUGUUGUUGAGAUACGCUUCUUUGUGCCGUUGCACGGUUUCAUUGAGUCGCUGUUUUAGGAGCACUUUAAUAAUGAUAUUGAUUUAUAUUUGAUGGAUCAGUUAAACGACCACAUUAAGGCAUGUGUCUAUCUUGUUGUUGAGACUUUGUUCAGUUGAACGGCUUCAUUGACUCACUCGCUGUGUUUGGAACACUUUAAUAACGCUGUUGAGUUGCCUUUGACGAUCAGUUAAACGACCACGUUAAAAUAUGUUUCUUGAAUCAGUUAAAUUAGUGUUUCUCAACAAUUUUGUCUUUUGCCGUAGGACACCUUUAAUUCCUAUUUUACUUUACUGGACUUUCAUAACCAUUCGAUGGUUAAAGAAUUAUAUUAUGUUUUUAUAAUUAAACAUUAAGAACUUACACUUUUACUUGUUUCACUCAUGUGACUGUGGCCAUGCUGAAGCACCGCCUUUAGUCGUGCAAAUCGACCUCAGGACUUAUUCUUUGUAAGCCUAGUACUUAUUCUAUCGGUCUCUUUUGCUGAACCGGUAAGUUACGGGGAUGUAAACACACCAGCAUCGGUUGUCAAGCGAUGUUGGGGAGACAAACACAAACGCACAAACAUACACACACACAUACAUAUAUAUAUAUAUAUAUAUAUAUAUACAUAUAUACGACGGGCUUCUUUCAGUUUCCGUCUACCAAAUCCACCCACAAGGCUUUGGUCGGCCCCAGGCUAUAGUAGAAAACACUUGCCCAAUGUGUCACACAGUGGGACUGAACCCGAAACCAUGUGAUUGGUAAGCAAGCUACUUACCACACAGCCACUCCUACGCCUAUACUGUAUAAAAGAGUUGUAAAAAUAUUUUAUGCAUUGUCGAAAUAUAACCAUUUUAUUGCAGAUAAAUUUUAACAACAAAAUCUUAUAUGGCCCCCUGUUGAGAACCACUGAGUUAAACUAUUUGGUUGAGAUACACGUCUUUGUUCAGUUGAACUGCUCCAUUGAGUCACUUUUCUUUGAGCAUU
rnacentral:lncRNA from 1 species